rnacentral:rRNA from 1 species
GGAAUCGUGCGCAAUGGACGAAAGUCUGACGCCGCGACGUCGCGUGAAGGAUGAAGGCCUUACGGUCGUAAACUUCUUUUGCCAUAUGGGUGACCAUAUGGAGAAUAAGCACCUGCUAACUCUGUGCCAGCAGCCGCGGUAAUACAGAGGGUGCAAGCGUUAUCCGGAUUUAUUGGGCGUAAAGCGUUUCGUAGGUGGUUUUGUAAGUUAAACUUCAAAGACUAGGGCUCAACCCGAGGAAGGGGUUUAA